rnacentral:rRNA from 1 species
GAUGAACGCUGGCGGCGUGCCUAAUACAUGCAAGUCGAGCGAACGGACGAGAAGCUUGCUUCUCUGAUGUUAGCGGCGGACGGGUGAGUAACACGUGGAUAACCUACCUAUAAGACUGGGAUAACUUCGGGAAACCGGAGCUAAUACCGGAUGAUAUUUUGAACCGCAUGGUUCAAAAGUGAAAGACGGUCUUGCUGUCACUUAUAGAUGGAUCCGCGCUGCAUUAGCUAGUUGGUAAGGUAACGGCUUACCAAGGCAACGAUGCAUAGCCGACCUGAGAGGGUGAUCGGCCACACUGGAACUGAGACACGCUCCAGACUCCUACGGGAGGCAGCAGUAGGGAAUCUUCCGCAAAGGGCGAAAGCCUGACGGAGCAACGCCGCGUGAGUGAUGAAGGUCUUCGGAUCGUAAAACUCUGUUAUUAGGGAAGAACAUAUGUGUAAGUAACUGUGCACAUCUUGACGGUACCUAAUCAGAAAGCCACGGCUAACUACGUG